GAGAAGAAAUGCUUAAUUCUUAAGUUUUAUGUAUGGACCAAUCACAUGGUGACAAGUGUCAAGCUUUAAUAUUAUUAUAUUUUCUUUUAUAAACACAACUAAAACUCUCCCAUCUCAUUUCUCUUGGUCGGCCAAGGCAAGAACAAAAGGGAAAAAGCAUAGAACAAACCCUAGAGAAGAAAAUCAAGAGAAAAUUCAUUGGAUUUCAAGGAAUUAAGCAAGUAAAGGUAAAAUUUCUUAAUUCUAGCUUGUGAUCUACCUUUCCUAUGCAUUCUUUUUCAAUUACCAUGGUUAAAAUUCAAGAUCUCAUGAAGGAUUCAUGGCUGACCGAAUUUAGGGAGAGAAGAUUUGAUGAUUUAUUUUGUCACGACCCGGAACUCCCAUCGAGCCCGUGACAACCACCGCGAUGUCCCUAUAGACAUUCAUUACUCGGAAUGCCAAUUGAAACCUCGCAAGGCUUUAAUAUCAGUUUUCGCACCUCCCCUGUGAGGAACAGUUGUUAAGUAUUAUGUUUUGAGAGAUUAUAAACUAUUUCCAAAUCAAAACAAUAGAAAAAUAAUUUUUUCUCACAGGGACAUUUUGGUCAUUUUGUCUCAAAAAUUCCGAAACCAACUAAAAAUGUAGUGUAUGAGAGAAAUUUACAUAUUUCAUAAUCGAAAAUAAGUUUAGAAAACUAAAACAUUCAUUUAAAGUGAAAUUAUGACUAAUGGAAUAAAACAAAAAUAAUGAAUAAAAUAUUAUAAUUUUUCAUAAAACAAUUUUUAUAGAACAUUACGUAAAUAAUUUUUACAGCGUAAAAGCAAAAUAAAUUCCUACAUAUAGUAGCACACGCAGCCAAGUAUUCAAAACAUUUAACAAUGACAUGGGGGCCCCCGAAUGACUAAAAGUAAUGAAGGCUAUGAACCUACAGUUUUUUAGGAAGCAAGUCCAACUGUAGCCCUCAAUGAAAUGAGCUAUCUACCGACUAUCCUAAGCCUAAAAUGGGUGGAAAGGAGGGUGGUGAGAUUAUAUAAUCACAGUGAGUAAACAAACACCAUCUAAAAUAUCUAAAGUCGAGUAAAUGGAGACAGAUAAAAUAGAUUAGCAUAAAAAUGAUUCUCAGUAUUUUGAACUCAUUUUAAUAAGAUAAAAUAGAUUCAUUUCACCAAAAUAAACAACGAGGCUUAUGAUUUCCUUUGGCUCGUGCCAAAAUCAUUCUCAUACUCAGGUGUUAGGGAUACCUUGGCCUGGGGCUAUCCCAACCGAGUCCGCCAAGGCUGUUAAAAGGUCAUAUACGCAUAAAUCAUGUUUUUAUUUUGGAAACAUAGCCUAUUCCUUGGCGUUGGCUGAGUUCACCCUCACGUGGUGGUUUGGCGUGAAGUGAACUCUAAAGUUGUACCUCGGGAGUUACCCUACGCGCCUCCCCAAUCGAGGUAAGAAUAUAACAGGAUUUCGUGCCCCUCAAAAAGGCUGGUCCAUAGAACCUGCCCACUGCAGCAAGCUAAACUCACCAUACAAUAAAAAUUCAAUAGCAUGACAUGGCAAUUUUAUCAUUAUCCAACCUAUCAAGGCAAACAACAGUUUAUACAUUUUCAACACAAAUACCAAUUCAGCCAUUCAUGCAAAUAUUGUCAUAAGCCAUUCGAUUCAAACCACGAAUUUACAACACAUGAAAACAGUCUCCAAUUACUCUAUUUUCAAACCAUCAUUCAAUUUCAAGACAAUGUUAUAAAAUCAUUUCAUUAAAUCACAUUUUAAUUACAAACACAAAGAUUUACCAUUUAACUCAUUUUUCUAUCAAAUCACAAAAUCGGAUAAAAACCACUUUAGAUAAUUAAGAUGACAGUAAGGUUACUCACUAUUUCAGGAGUCGAAUUUCGAGUACUCCGAUUCUUGAUCCUCGGGUACUAUCUUUUUACUUUUGCCAGAAUGCUCACCACCUAGACAUAAUGCACAAUAAGCCAUUUACUACAUUUGUGCUAAAUUGUUAUAAAAUCAAUUCAGGCUUUAUACUAAUGCAUGAAAUGGGAUGUGAAAUACUCAAGUAACUAUCUAAAUACGGUGUUCAAUAUAAAUUCAAUUAUGUACCUAAAUAAAAUGGUACUGGCCUAAUUCGAUCUAUCACCUGAUUAAUUGGCCAAUAUGUCCAAUUUAAUUCCAAUUAACUCCAUUUUUCUUCCAAUUCUCCAAACCAUCAAACACAAGUCAAAUAGCAUAAAAUUUAGCAAAAUCAUCUUCACAUUUUCUCUUGAGAAUUUCGGCCAUGGUGGGUGCAUCAACACUAUGAUUUUUCCAACUUGAUUUUUUCACCGUAAUUCAUCAUUUCCUAACCAAUUCACUUGAAAUAAAAUCAAAUCCACCAUCCACACUUUACAUGGAAGAUUCGGCCAAUGAUGAGUGGUGGGAGGAAGUGAAUUUUUCUUGUUGGCUUUUCAUGCUACACAUCACUAACUAACUAAAAACACUAAAAUACAUUGAAAUCUAACCAAAUCAAGCAUCAAAACCUCCCUCUAAGUGUUCGGCCAGCAAGGGAUUCAUCAUGAUUUCAUGUGUUUCAACCAUGGAAAAUAACAAAAAAUGAUUAAGAAAGAGAGAUCUCAAGCUUAAUUGAAAAAAUCUCACCUUUUUUCACUUGUUUCUUUGAAUUUUCACACUUUUCCCUUGAAUUUUUCCACUUAGGGUUUUGUUCUUCCUUGUUCUUGCUUCUUCUUGGUGAGGUCGAC
rnacentral:lncRNA from 1 species